rnacentral:rRNA from 1 species
CCUACGGGAGGCAGCAGUGGGGAAUCUUGCGCAAUGGGCGAAAGCCUGACGCAGCGACGCCGCGUGAGGGAUGACGGCCUUCGGGUUGUAAACCUCUUUCAGCAGGGACGAAGCGCAAGUGACGGUACCUGCAGAAGAAGCUCCGGCUAACUACGUGCCAGCAGCCGCGGUAAU